rfam:Rhizobium lusitanum strain P1-7 genome assembly, contig: Ga0061101_136
GAGGGUUGGCCCCUCGGGCUCGGCUUUCAGGAGCUGGGCUCAAACCACUCCAAGCGGCUGCGUUUAAGAGACGUGGUCGUGAGCGUUGGAGGCAAGUCCAGGGCAAACCCUGGGCCGGU